GGAAUUCCCCUCAUUUGCUAGAAUCUGCUCAAAUAGCUCCUUGACCAUAUCGAUUCCCCGCUUCACUCUAAGGAGGUUUCGUGAAUGGCUACCAGCUUGUCUCACACGGUUCUGCUGUAUGUCCAGGUCAACCAUGGAGUGUAAUGUGGUAAUAGAACUUGAUGCCUGUAACAGAUCCUCUACCUUGGCGACAUAAUCCAUCUCCGCGAACUUGAAGGCGAUCCCGAGGCAGCCGAAGAGGACGGACACGUGGGAGCAGGCGCGGGAGAAGGGGCCGACCUCGAGGGCCGCCGAUUUGGAAUUCACCGUCUCGGCGAGGGCCUUGAAGGACUCGCUGAUCUCCCUCAGCGGCUUCUUUCCCUCUGCGGCCAUUGAUCAACGUCCGGCGUCGGAGUCGGCGUCGGUGUCUCUCUCGUGUCGGUGCCCUUGACACCUGGUUGAAGAUGCUCAGCUCAACUCCAGCGGCAAGGAAAAGGCGAUAUUCCCCAGCAAGACGAUAUUACGG
rnacentral:misc_RNA from 1 species